GCCAGACUCCUACGGGAGGCAGCAGUGGGGGAUAUUGCACAAUGGGGGAAACCCUGAUGCAGCGACGCCGCGUGGGUGAAGGAGCACUUCGGUGCGUAAAGCCCUAUCGGCAGGGAAGAAAAGGGGGAAACCCCAGACGGUACCUGACUAAGAAGCCCCGGCUAACUACGUGCCAGCAGCCGCGGGAAUACGUAGGGGGCAAGCGUUAUCCGGAUUUACUGGGUGUAAAGGGAGCGUAGGCGGUGCAGCAAGUCAGAAGUGAAAGCCCGGGGCUCAACUCCGGGACUGCUUUUGAAACUGUUGAACUAGAUUGCAGGAGAGGUAAGUGGAAUUCCUAGUGUAGCGGUGAAAUGCGUAGAUAUUAGGAGGAACACCAGUGGCGAAGGCGGCUUACUGGACGGUAAAUGACGCUGAGGCUCGAAAGCGUGGGGAGCAAACAGGAUUAGAUACCCCGGUAUCG
rnacentral:rRNA from 1 species